UAGGUUUGGAAAGAAGUGAAGGGCCUUGCCUU
rnacentral:piRNA from 1 species